rnacentral:rRNA from 1 species
UACCAGCACCCCGAGUGGUCGGGACGUUUAUUGGGCCUAAAGCAUCCGUAGCCGGUUCUACAAGUCUUCCGUUAAAUCCACCUGCUUAACAGAUGGGCUGCGGAAGAUACUAUAGAGCUAGGAGGCGGGAGAGGCAAGCGGUACUCGAUGGGUAGGGGUAAAAUCCGUUGAUCCAUUGAAGACCACCAGUGGCGAAGGCGGCUUGCCAGAACGCGCUCGACGGUGAGGGAUGAAAGCUGGGGGAGCGAACCGG